rnacentral:rRNA from 1 species
UACGAAGGGGGCUAGUGUUGUUCGGAAUUACUGGGCGUAAAGCGCACGUAGGCGGACUAUUAAGUCAGGGGUGAAAUCCCGGGGCUCAACCCCGGAACUGCCUUUGAUACUGGUAGUCUCGAGUCCGGAAGAGGUGAGUGGAAUUCCGAGUGUAGAGGUGAAAAUUCGUAGAUAUUCGGAGGAACACCAGUGGCGAAGGCGGCUCACUGGUCCGGUACUGACGCUGAGGUGCGAAAGCGUGGGGAGCGAACAGG